rnacentral:lncRNA from 10 species
GCCUCGUGAACCCCUCUCUCCAGGAGGAGGGCAUCAUGACGCACUAGACCUGGCUGCAGGUGGUGAGUGAAUGUAGCUGCGCCCUGAGCAGAGGGGAGAGGGGCCAUGAGGAGGCUGUUUUGGGGCCCUUCUGGAGCAGGGCCGGAGAAGGGUAGGAGAUUGAAGAGGGUGAGUGAGAAAAGGCUGGACAGGACUAGGGCAGCUCCUCAACCCACCCCCAGGCACCCUCCCCUUCGCGCUGGACCUGGCUUUCCUUGAGGGGAGGAGGGAGUUUGUCCCCUUGAUCUGUGUGGCGCCUCUCCCCAGCACAGUGCUGCAAGUGCAACCAGCGGAAAUGCCCAGCCCCGGGACCAGGGGACUAGGGACAGGAGCCUACCCUGUGCGGCUCUGAGGAGUGGCUGUGAGCACUGCACGCAGGACUGAGAAAGCCCGGGAUAAGCCCGGAGUGCAGGGAAACCCGCAGCCCCCUGGGCAGAUGUGGAGAAGAAUCUGGACAAGCUGACCGAGACCCCGGUACCGGGGGUCUCCGUGUGUGCCUGGCUGCGUGAUCAGAGGUAACUCCCCUCAUCUACUUCCCGUCUCUAUGGAUUUACCUAUUUUGUGUAUUUCAUGUAAGUAGAAUCAUACAAUACUUGUCCUUUUGUGUCUGGCUUACUUCACUCAGCAUAAUGUCCUCAAGGUUCAUCCAUGUUGUAGCAUGUGUCAGAAUUUCAUUCCCAGCAAAGAAAUUUUUAAUAACCCAUCUCUGCCAGAAAAAAAGACCCCCCAAAAGUUACAGAUUAACCAUCUGUGAACAAAGGAUGAAUGGGCGGACAGGCUGACACAGUCACGUUACUGGAAUCCAUUAUGCAGUCACCGCUUGGCAUCUGCAGGAAAUUAGUUCCAGGCCCCCUGACCAAUACCAAAAUGCGUAGAUGCUUAAGUCCCUGAUAUAAAGUGAUGUAGUAUUUGCAUUUAACCUACACACAUCCUCCCACAUACUUUAAGUCAUCUCCAGAUUACGUAUAAUACCUAAUUCAAGGCCAGGCACAGUAGCUCACACCUGUAAUUCCAGCACUUUGGAAUUACAAAAAUUCCAAAUCUCCAGGCCAAGGUGAGAGGAUCACGUGAGCCCAGGAAUUCAAGACCAGCUUGGGCAACACGGUGAGAGCCUAUUCUUUUCCCCA